rnacentral:rRNA from 1 species
CCUACGGGGCGCUGCAGUGGGGAAUAUUGGACAAUGGGCGAAAGCCUGAUCCAGCCAUGCCGCGUGUGUGAAGAAGGCCUUCGGGUUGUAAAGCACUUUCAGUGGGGAAGAAAGCCUUGGGGCUAAUACCCUCGAGGAAGGACAUCACCCACAGAAGAAGCACCGGCUAACUCCGUGCCAGCAGCCGCGGUAAUACGGAGGGUGCGAGCGUUAAUCGGAAUUACUGAGCGUAAAGCGCGCGUAGGCGGUCUGAUAAGCCGGUUGUGAAAGCCCCGGGCUCAACCUGGGAACGGCAUCCGGAACUGUCAGGCUAGAGUGCAGGAGAGGAAGGUAGAAUUCCCGGUGUAGCGGUGAAAUGCGUAGAGAUCGGGAGGAAUACCAGUGGCGAAGGCGGCCUUCUGGACUGACACUGACGCUGAGGUGCGAAAGCGUGGGUAGCAAACAGGAUUAGAUACCCCUGUAGUC